GACAGAGGGGGCAAGCGUUGCUCGGAAUUACUGGGCGUAAAGGGCACGUAGGCGGGAUGGCAAGUCGGUCGUGAAAUCCCUCGGCUCAACUGAGGAUCGUCGAUCGAUACUGCCGUUCUUGAGGAUUGCAGAGGAGACUGGAAUUCCCGGUGUAGCGGUGAAAUGUGUAGAGAUCGGGAGGAACACCGGUGGCGAAGGCGGGUCUCUGGGCCUGUACUGACGCUGAGGAGCGAAAGCGUGGGGAGCGAACAGG
rnacentral:rRNA from 1 species